rnacentral:rRNA from 1 species
CCUACGGGUGGCAGCAGUGAGGAAUAUUGGUCAAUGGGCGAGAGCCUGAACCAGCCAAGUCGCGUGAAGGAUGAAGGAUCUAUGGUUUGUAAACUUCUUUUAUACGGGAAUAAAGUGAGGAACGCGUUCCUUUUUGUAUGUACCAUACGAAUAAGCAUCGGCUAACUCCGUGCCAGCAGCCGCGGUAAUACGGAGGAUGCGAGCGUUAUCCGGAUUUAUUGGGUUUAAAGGGUGCGUAGGCGGUUAGAUAAGUCAGCGGUGAAAUUUGGUGGCUCAACCUUAGAAUUGCCGUUGAUACUGGUUGGCUUGAGUAUAUUUGAGGUAGGCGGAAUGCGUGGUGGAGCGGUGAAAUGCAUAGAGAUCACACAGAACUCCGAUUGCGAAGGCAGCUUACUAAGCUAUAACUGACACUGAGGCACGAAAGCGUGGGGAUCAAACAGGAUUAGAUACCCUGGUAGUC